UUUUAACAUCAAAUGUGAAAAACCGAGAAAAAACAUAGGAAAAUAAGAAUAAUACUAAGCCAACAUAAUAUCUUCCUGGGGCAGGCCCACAUUAUUAACUAUGCUAAUUAAAACUACAGUGAUAGGUGAGCGGUCGGAUAGCGUCACCUGUUAAUAGUGCUGACGUAACCUGUACAUGACUUUGAGGCAGUGGCUGGGUGUUACUGCGUGUAUACUUUGAUGUCCAGGCCUGAUGUGGCGGCUGUUACCAUGUGCAGCUGUUUUGCCCUUACCUCAGCCUCCCUUAUCCUCUCGUCUUGCUCCUUGCAGCUCAGUAUUUAUAUCCUAUCAUGCGGUAAGAUUGAGAGCCGCGAAAGGAGGCUGCCACGAUUUUAUCGUAUUUAGCUCGGUCAGAAUCCCGGGAUAGGAUGUUUUUCGGCCGCAGAUCAAAUUUUGGACGUCGCUGAGAACUAGAUUUCUUCCAUCAACAUACACUCUGACUUCUUGUCGGUAGAGUUCCCUGUGAGGGCAUGCGAAAAGUGUGUGCUCAACGGUGUUUUCCGGGUGUCGGAAAUAUAGGCACUUCACGUCUGGGGCUCGUUCCAUCCGACAGCGUGUGUCAUAUCACCUUGUAUAUUACGUAUGAACAUUUUUACUCGAUGUGCUUUUUGAGUGGCGAAUUCAUAGUCACAUUGUAGUGUGUCACUUAAGUCCCCACACAUGUAGUAUUUUCCCAGUCUUUCCAUAACCGGUUAGUCUACUUAUAAAAUUUGAACAAAUUAUUAAAAAAAUAAAAAAACUACUAAAUAAUUAUUAAAUAUUUCCUAAAUACGAGCAUUGUCUACACAAAUGUUUCAAUAAUCUUAAAUACAAUACUAAAUAACGCUAUUCUUCGUUUUUUUAACCAGAAUCUGUAACUUUUGAUGAACCUUGUGUUAAUUUGUCUUUCAUUUUUUCUGGACUAUAAAAUCUGUAUUCAAAUAUAUCGUAAAAAAGUACACAAAACACCAUAAUUAUUAUUCACGACUUUCAUUAUAAAUUUUGACAUAUUUCGUAGCUAUAACUACAUAUGCUAAUAUUAUAAUCAUACUUUCUUGUCUGAUCUCAAUUAUAAAAUAAAAUUAUAUCGACGAUCCAGCUAGUAAAUGUAAAUAAAUUAACGCCAAUACAUAAGGCCUUGCGUUCCUAAUAUAUUUGUAAGCAAUUGAAAAUAAGCAGACAAUGAUAAUAUUAAUAUUGAUCACAUUUCAAUCGCAAUUGUUUUUAACUACAUAUUUGAGCAAUAGCAUAUUACUUUUAUACCAACCAAGACAUUUUUCAGUGUUAUUUUGUAAGUUCACAUUAUUGGCAAAAAAUUGUUACUACUAUUACGUACUUUUACGUUAUUAUUAAAAAUUUGAGAC